UACGUAGGGACCAAGCGUUGUUCGGAUUUACUGGGCGUAAAGGGCGCGUAGGCGGCUUAACAAGUCACUUGUGAAAUCUCCGGGCUUAACUCGGAACGGCCAAGUGAAACUGUCAAGCUAGAGUGCAGAAGGGGCAAUCGGAAUUCUUGGUGUAGCGGUGAAAUACGUAGAUAUCAAGAGGAACACCUGAGGUGAAGACGGGUUGCUGGGCUGACACUGACGCUGAGGCGCGAAAGCCAGGGGAGCAAACGGG
rnacentral:rRNA from 1 species